rnacentral:rRNA from 1 species
GGCCCAGACUCCUACGGGAGGCAGCAGUGGGGAAUAUUGCACAAUGGGGGAAACCCUGAUGCAGCGACGCCGCGUGAGUGAAGAAGUCUUUCGGUAUGUAAAGCUCUAUCAGCAGGGAAGAAAAUGACGGUACCUGACUAAGAAGCCCCGACUAACUACGUGCCAGCAGCCGCGGUAAUACGUAGGGGGCAAGCGUUAUCCGGAUUUACUGGGUGUAAAGGGAGCGUAGACGGCAGCGCAAGUCUGAAGUGAAAUCCCAUGGCUUAACCAUGGAACUGCUUUGGAAACUGAGCAGCUAGAGUGCAGGAGAGGUAAGCGGAAUUCCUAGUGUAGCGGUGAAAUGCGUAGAUAUUAGGAGGAACACCAGUGGCGAAGGCGGCUUACUGGACUGUAACUGACGUUGAGGCUCGAAAGCGUGGGGAGCAAACAGGAUUAGAUACCCCGGUA